rnacentral:rRNA from 2 species
AAACCGUUCAGGGGUAAACCUAAGAAACCCAAAAGAUCGAACGGGGAGAUUCAUCGUCAGCGACGCUGGCUUCGCGUCGGUGGGCGAUGUCCCGCGGAGCCUCGCGGCUCGCGCGCGGACACGCUGCCGUGCGUCGAUGUCCGGCGUUCGUCGUCGUGCACUUCUCCCCUAGUAGAACGUCGCGACCCGCUGGGUGUCGGUCUACGGCCCGGGUGCGGUGACUGACGCGUCGCCGGUAAAACGGCACGCGUCAAACCCUCGGUCGCCCGGCCGGCUGCCCGGCGGUACACGCAAGGUAUCAGGCCGCACCUUACUCUACGAGUGCGUCGAGGCCGUCGCAAGCGCGCGCCACGGUACACGGAGGCUAACGGACCUAGUGCCGUCCCCGGUCCUGGCCCGCUGUUGGUCGUACGGUUAACCUUCGACAGGCCUACGAACGUCCCCCGGGUAAUCCGGGGGACCGAUACCGGUCGGCGACGCUACUGCUUUGGGUACUCUUAGGA